rnacentral:rRNA from 1 species
CACGUAGGGCGCAAGCGUUGUCCGGAAUCAUUGGGCGUAAAGCGCGCGUAGGCGGCCCUGUAAGUCCGUUGUGAAAGUCAAAGGCUCAACCUUUGAAAGCCGAUGGAUACUGCAGGGCUAGAGUCCGGAAGAGGCGAGUGGAAUUCCCGGUGUAGCGGUGGAAAUGCGUAGAUAUCGGGAGGAACACCAGAGGCGAAGGCGGGCUACUGGGCCGAUACUGACGCUGAUGCGCGAAAGCCAGGGGAGCGAAUGGG